CCUACGGGCGGCAGCAGUGGGGAAUAUUGGACAAUGGGCGAAAGCCUGAUCCAGCCAUGCCGCGUGUGUGAAGAAGGCCUUCGGGUUGUAAAGCACUUUCAGUGGGGAAGAAAGCCUUGGGGCUAAUACCCUCGAGGAAGGACAUCACCCACAGAAGAAGCACCGGCUAACUCCGUGCCAGCAGCCGCGGUAAUACGGAGGGUGCGAGCGUUAAUCGGAAUUACUGGGCGUAAAGCGCGUGUAGGCGGUCUGAUAAGCCGGUUGUGAAAGCCCCGGGCUCAACCUGGGAACGGCAUCCGGAACUGUCAGGCUAGAGUGCAGGAGAGGAAGGUAGAAUUCCCGGUGUAGCGGUGAAAUGCGUAGAGAUCGGGAGGAAUACCAGUGGCGAAGGCGGCCUUCUGGACUGACACUGACGCUGAGGUGCGAAAGCGUGGGUAGCAAACAGGAUUAGAUACCCCAGUAGUC
rnacentral:rRNA from 1 species